UGCAACAUGAAAGGAAAUUGCUAAGUUAAACUCUACCGUAAAACAAUUGAAUACAUUGAUGAACUCCAUUAAAAAUAUAUACAACAUGAAAAGAUAAAACAUAGAGGACAUCAGAGGAAGAAAAGUUGGAGAGAGAUAGAGAGAAAAAAACCACCGCAGAUUCCCAGUAGUUUAUCUCCUCUUUAAUAUCUUCCAAUGUUAUUUUCACAAUCUCAUGAAUUUCCACUCCAUUACUUAGAUCUAGUCCCUCAGUAUUCGGGACUUCCCUAACUACACAAACUCCAUGAUUUUGUAGCUGAAUUCACAGGGGGUUAUACAGUGUCAGUUUUUCUAUGUUUGUUUUUCGUUUGUAUAUACUAUUUGAAACCUUAUUACGAAAAUCGUUCCAGCUUUUGUAUUUACCCGUUGCAUAUCUUUGUUUUCCUUUUCUCUGACUACCUCUUCUCCACAAUCUGCCCAGGAUUCCCUGCCCCGAGCUUGUUGAUCCAUUUUCCUUCUCUGCAUGCAUGGUACUGUUCUUUGUGGUGUUCUCUACGACGUUGUUAUUAUUAGAUCCAGUGGCGUGAUUCCUUGGAUUGUGUUUAUGCUUCGUUGUUUCCUUGUAUUUGCUGAGUCCGGAACUCCUAAUUUCAUCAUUUUCUCUGGUUUCCUCUAGAUUUAGAUUUUCUUGUCAUUAGCAGAACUGAGAGAAGCUCUCAUUCUAGAGAGAAAAAU
rnacentral:lncRNA from 1 species